CCAGCUGAUAUCAGCUGCCCAGCUGCUUCCAGAGCCCCCACCUAAAGUCAGGGGAGGUUCACCAGGUGGUUCGGCUAAUU